GGAGUUCAGAAGUGUUCUCUUACAAUUCACUGGUUUUUAGUGUACUCACAGAGUUGUGCAUCCAUCAUCACAAUCAAUUUUAGAACAUUUUUAUCAUCCCCAAGGAAACCCCAUAUCAAUUAGCAGUCACUGUUCAUUGCUCCCAUGUCCCAGCCUAGCUAUCCAUUAAUCUACUUUGUUUCCAUAGAUUUUUCCUAUUCUGGAUAUUUCAUAUAAAUGGAAUCACACGUGGCCUUUUGAAUUUGGCUUCUGCCACUUAGCAUGAUGUUUUUAAGGUUUAUCGUGUUGUACCAUGUAUCAUACCUCAUACCCUUCUAUGGCUGAGAAAUAUUCCAUUAUGUCAACGUACCAUGUUUUGUUUAUCUAUUCACUUCUUGACUGACGUUUGGAUUAUCUCUGCUUUUUUGGCUGUUACAAAUAAAGCUGCUAUAAACAUUCAUCUGCAAAUUUUUGUGUGGAAGUAUGUGUUCAUCUCUUUCGGGUGUAUGCCUAAGAGUAAAAUUGCUAGAUCAUAUGGCAACUCCACCUUUAACUUUCUGAGCAGCUGUCCAGCUGUUUCCCACAGUGGCUGCACCAUCUUACAUUCCC